rnacentral:rRNA from 1 species
CACGUAGGGGGCAAGCGUUGUCCGGAUUUAUUGGGCGUAAAGGGCUCGUAGGCGGUUCGACAAGUCGGGUGUGAAACCUCCAGGCUCAACCUGGAGUCGCCACUCGAAACUGUUGUGACUUGAGUCCGGUAGGGGAGCAUGGAAUUCCUGGUGUAGCGGUGGAAUGCGCAGAUAUCAGGAGGAACACCAGUGGCGAAGGCGAUGCUCUGGGCCGGUACUGACGCUGAGGGGCGAAAGCAUGGGGAGCGAACAGG